GUGCUCACUUCAGCAGCACAUAUACUAAGACUGGAACGAUACAGAGAAGAUUAGCAUGGCCCUCAUGCAAGGAUGAGACAAAAAUUCGUGAAGUGCUGCAUACUUUU
ensembl:snRNA U6 U6 spliceosomal RNA